CCUACGGGCGGCAGCAGUGAGGAAUAUUGGUCAAUGGACGGAAGUCUGAACCAGCCAUGCCGCGUGCAGGAAGACGGCUCUAUGAGUUGUAAACUGCUUUUGUACAAGGGUAAACCUGAAUACGUGUAUUCAGCUGAAAGUACUGUACGAAUAAGGAUCGGCUAACUCCGUGCCAGCAGCCGCGGUAAUACGGAGGAUCCAAGCGUUAUCCGGAUUUAUUGGGUUUAAAGGGUGCGUAGGCGGAUUGAUAAGUUAGAGGUGAAAUGUCCGAGCUUAACUCGGGAACUGCCUCUAAUACUGUUGGUCUAGAGAGUAGAUGCGGUAGGCGGAAUGUAUGGUGUAGCGGUGAAAUGCUUAGAGAUCAUACAGAACACCGAUUGCGAAGGCAGCUUACCAAGCUAUAUCUGACGUUGAGGCACGAAAGCGUGGGGAGCAAACAGGAUUAGAUACCCGGGUAGUC
rnacentral:rRNA from 1 species